rnacentral:rRNA from 1 species
UACAGAGGGUGCGAGCGUUGUUCGGAAUUAUUGGGCGUAAAGGGCGCGUAGGCGGUGCGGUAAGUCACCUGUGAAAUCUCCUGGCUCAACUGGGAGCUUGCAGGCGAAACUGCCGUGCUGGAGUGUGGGAGAGGUGCGUGGAAUUCCCGGUGUAGCGGUGAAGUGCGUAGAUAUCGGGAGGAACACCGGUGGCGAAGGCGGCCAACUGGACAGAUACUGACGCUGAGACUCGAAAGCGUGGGGAGCAAACAGG